GUGGCAUCGGAGUUAACUCCCAACCCCUGUGACAUACCAAUUGUUGCCUCGGCGGAUCAGCCCGCUCCCGGUAAAACGGGACGGCCCGCCAGAGGACCCCUAAACUCUGUUUCUAUAUGUAACUUCUGAGUAAAACCAUAAAUAAAUCAAAACUUUCAACAACGGAUCUCUUGGUUCUGGCAUCGAUGAAGAACGCAGCAAAAUGCGAUAAGUAAUGUGAAUUGCAGAAUUCAGUGAAUCAUCGAAUCUUUGAACGCACAUUGCGCCCGCCAGUAUUCUGGCGGGCAUGCCUGUUCGAGCGUCAUUUCAACCCUCAAGCCCCCGGGUUUGGUGUUGGGGAUCGGCGAGCCCUUGCGGCAAGCCGGCCCCGAAAUCUAGUGGCGGUCUCGCUGCAGCUUCCAUUGCGUAGUAGUAAAACCCUCGCAACUGGUACGCGGCGCGGCCAAGCCGUUAAACCCCCAACUUCUGAAUGUUGACCUCGGAUCAGGUAGGAAUACCCGCUGAACUUAAGCAUAUCAAUAAGCGGAGGAA
rnacentral:rRNA from 1 species